rnacentral:lncRNA from 1 species
UCAAGUGUUGACAAACUUAUAAACAGCUUUGGUGCAUUUUAUCUUUACUAGUUAAUGUUCUAGCAAAUUAUGUUAAGCUUUCCUGGAAAUUUAUGAGAGUAGGCCAAUGAUUGUGCUGAUAUUUAGCGAUAAACUCUCAAGAAUUUUCAUGUGAGGGUCAUUGAAUUGUGAAGCCUUCGCUGGACUAUUUCUUUUCAUUGGCCAAGGAUCUUAAGGGAUUACCUACUAGGAGAAUUACUUCUUAAUGGAACUAUAGCCUGUAAAUAUUUAGCAAGAAAGUGUCAGAAAAAAAAAGGGACAAACAUGGGUCGAAAUGGGAUCCAUCCAGUGAUUUUUUAGAAAAGAAUAAAUAAAAUUACAAUAAAAAUCAAAAGAUGAAUUUCAAGGCGUGUUUUAUAAAUUUAAACCAAUGAAACCAUAAUUGUAACGGGUUUCUUGCAAUCGGCCAAGUCAGCAAGUUCUUGAGCGAUUUUAUAAUAGAUGGAUUUUUUGCCUAACAGAUUAAGGGGUUGUUUUCUUUGUGUUCCAAUUUUGUGAUUUUGAGUUUUGAAUUCAUUUUGAGUUUGGUGUUUUGAAUGCUUGUUUUGAAAUUAAUGAAAAUACGUUUUUUUAUAUCAUUCUGAAAAACUGUUUUUGGAAACAUAAAAUUGAAAAACGUGUUUACUUUGAAAUUUUGAGAAUAUUUUUAUAAUAUUUUAUUCAAGAAAUAUGAUUAUUCAAUAAAUUUUAAUAGUUUAAUGUUAAUAUAAUAUAAUAACAUAUAAAUUUUGAAAUUGGUGAAUUUUGAAAUAUUUUUAACAGAUAUAAAAAACACAACCUAAAUUAAAUUUGACAACACGGAUUAAUAGAUCUAUUAGAAGUUUACGUGUCAUGUCAAAACAAGUAGACACUACACAAAAUAUAAAUGUACGAUAUCUUGAGUAAUCAUUCCACAUUUGAGUAACAAUUUGAUCCCUGACUUGUCCCAUUUGAGCUGUUUGACUAGCAUCUAAAUGUAUAACUUCUUGUUCUUAACUAUUAACUUCAUUAUCCGAUUGAUUACAUGAUUUUCCUUGGAUCUUUGCAAGCUUUUCUUUUAGGUAAAGUGUUCUAAGUUUAGUUUUCUCAUUCCUCAAACUUUACACAAGUGACCACUGUGCCAUGCAGACCUCAAGUUUAUCAUUUUUACUGAUCUUAGGUUCCUUACGUCGACAUUCACCCGAUGUACCAAUUCUAUCAUGUUGAAGAGAAAAGGAAACCUCAUCGACUUCAUCAUCAUUUUUCACACAUACAUGCACUCCUCUGUUUAAGAAAUCAUUUUCUAGCUGUCUUUCUUCCUCUGAUGUGUUUGGAAGAUGAGUGGAGGCAUUGCCUAAUCCUCCAGUAACUGUAAUCCUGCUAAAUAUUCUUUAAUAAAUAUAUAUACCAUAUAAAAGUGUUGUCAAAAUUCCUGUGCAGUAUUAACUUUAUUGGUAUUUGGAUCCCAUGUAACACCUGUAUGUUCCAAAAGUUCAAAAAACAUGCGAUGAAUUUUACGUAAGCGGUUCCACUUUCCCUUUAAUCUAUCUAUGCCGUAAUCCAUUUUUGUUGAACCUAUCAUGGUCUCAUUGAUUCUGCCACAUUGGUCUUUCGUGAAUGUAGAACAUUGCAAUGCGAUUGAUUUGACUUUCUCGUAAAGAAUUUCGAUAAAAACGUGUUCAUUCUCGUCUGACCAUGACAUUGGUUCCUUAUUCCUAACUUUGUGACCACCCAUGUUGAAACUAUAUUGAAUAUACAUAAAAUUAUCAAGAAAUACAUAAGACCUUCCAUGGACGAUUUGAGGAGGACAUAUUGUGUGAUUUUAAUUAUAGUCACAUACCAUCAAUUGUCAUUAGAUGCGUAUAGUACUAAUUUGCAUAGAUCCAUUAACCAAGAAACAUUGGAUAUUGCAAACAAAAUCCCCGAAAAAGAAGAAGAAUAUUUAGCACUCGAAUAGAAAACACCACAAUUGUUGAAUCUCAAUUGCUUUCUCCUUUCUAAGAAACUUGGCAAGUAGCUUAGUAGGCAGCAAAGAAAACAAACCCACUUUCCAUUCUCUUACCAACCAAACCUCAAUGACAGCAUUUGAUUUUAAAGCUUUGUGACCUUUCCUAACCAUGGGUCAGGUAAGUAAAACAAGAAUGCAUCAAAAACAUUGACUAUACUUUUCCCUAUGGUCAUCCUAUUGGAAAGGAAUAUAAACAACAACCUAUUAGUCCAUCAUUGUGCUAAUAGAAUGAAAUAUAAAGAACAUUGACUAUAAUUUUCCCUAUGGUCAUCCUAUUCAUGCAAAUAUCAAGUGUUGACAAACUUAUAAACAGCUUUGGUGCAUUUUAUCUUUACUAGUUAAUGUUCUAGCAAAUUAUGUUAAGCUUUCCUGGAAAUUUAUGAGAGUAGGCCAAUGAUUGUGCUGAUAUUUAGCGAUAAACUCUCAAGAAUUUUCAUGUGAGGGUCAUUGAAUUGUGAAGCCUUCGCUGGACUAUUUCUUUUCAUUGGCCAAGGAUCUUAAGGGAUUACCUACUAGGAGAAUUACUUCUUAAUGGAACUAUAGCCUGUAAAUAUUUAGCAAGAAAGUGUCAGAAUUUUCCUGUGGAGAUCACUGAGUUAAGAAGCUCCUGCUAGACUAUAGUCUUUCAAUUGCUAUAAGGUUCUUAAAGGAAUACCUACUUAGAGAACUACCUCUUAAUGGAACUAUAGCCUAUAGCGAACCCAAAAACAAAAAAUUAAAAUAAAAUCUCCAAAACACAACCCUGACAUAAGAACAUGAACCAUUACAAUCAAAUCUAUUGAAUUAUAAUUACAAAACCAAUUUCAAAAAAGACAGUUGGAAUUAUCACAAAAUAUGAUCAUCUAAGCAUUGAAGACCAAAGGACAAUGUCUGCAACUUAAUUCAUUUAAGUUAAUCCGGUGAAAAGAAAGACAAAUGUCUCCAAAAAAAAUAAAUUAAUGCAACAAUCAUUAUCCAAUCAAAUCUUGGCCUACACGUUAACAUUACAAAGAACCCAUGUAUUGUUAAGCCAGAAUUAAUAUUCACAACAGAAAAACUCAUUUGAAAUUGCUGCAAACACUAAUUAGAAAAGGCCGAUUGCAAAACUGUUACCACACAACCAAUUGAAGUUAAUAGGCUCGGUAAAGAAAAGCCCACUUGCAGCACAAAAUUAAAAUAGCAAUUUGUCAGUUGGACAUGCAAAUUAUAGAAAACUGCCAAGAAGAAAUUAAUCGAAGUCAUUUGGGCUUGCGUUGGAGACUCCAAAAAAUAGAAAACUGCCAAGAAGAAAAUACCUAAGCGACGUGGUGCCAUCUGAUUCAGUAACGAGAAAGAAUCAAAAAUCAAAAGGGAGAAAACAUUCUAAAAGAUCUACUUUGUUUUUUCUACAAAGCACAGGGAAUCGUUGAUCAAUUUUCACUAAAGAAAACGUGAUUGCAAGAAAGAGAGGGGAAACUAUUCUUACAGAGCCUUCGAUAUUCUUCGAUCUGGGAUUUGGAAGGCAGGGUAAUCCCUAGGCAGUGCCUUACAUCUGCUGUUAAGGCAUGGAGAGAAGGAAAAGAGAUGGGUUGUUUUUAGUGGAUUCAAUCUGUUUCUCG